ACAUGCGGCCAUACCCGUAGGAAAACUCGGAACCCGUCCGCUCUUCCCUAGAUAAGCCUUGCGAGUGCCAGAUUAGUAGUUUGGCCGGCGACGACAAGCGAAUCCCUGGUGUUGCAUGCC
rnacentral:rRNA from 1 species